GUCUCCGUAGCUUAGCCGGGACAACAACCGACUAUGGCGCGGUAGAACUCGGGUUCGAGUCCCGGUGAAAGGCA